rnacentral:rRNA from 1 species
AUUGAACGCUGGCGGAAUGCUUUACACAUGCAAGUCGAACGGUAGACCCUUUCGGGGGUUGAGAGUGGCGAACGGGUGAGUAAUGCAUCGGAACGUACCCAGUCGUGGGGGAUAACGAAUCGAAGGAUUCGCUAAUACCGCAUACGUCCUGAGGGAGAAAGCGGGGGACCGAAAGGCCUCGCGCGAUUGGAGCGGCCGAUGUCAGAUUAGCUAGUUGGUGGGGUAAAGGCCUACCAAGGCGACGAUCUGUAGCGGGUCUGAGAGGAUGAUCCGCAACACUGGGACUGAGACACGGCCCAGACUCCUACGGGAGGCAGCAGUGGGGAAUUUUGGACAAUGGGCGCAAGCCUGAUCCAGCCAUUCCGCGUGCGGGAAGAAGGCCUUCGGGUUGUAAACCGCUUUCGGACGGAAAGAAAUCGUCAGGGCUAAUACCCUUGAUGGAUGACGGUACCGUAAGAAGAAGCACCGGCUAACUACGUGCCAGCCGCCGCCGUAAAAC